UGAGGAAUAUUGGGUCAAUGGGCGGAAGCCUGAACCAGCCAUGCCGCGUGAAGGAAUAAGGCCCUAUGGGUCGUAAACUUCUUUUGGCGGGGAGCAAUAAGGUCUACGUGUAGACCGAUGAGAGUACUCGUUGAAUAAGCAUCGGCUAACUCCGUGCCAGCAGCCGCGGUAAUACGGAGGAUGCGAGCGUUAUCCGGAUUUAUUGGGUUUAAAGGGAGCGUAGGCGGGCUGUUAAGUCAGCGGUCAAAUGUCAGGGCCCAACCUUGGCAUGCCGUUGAUACUGGCGGCCUUGAGUUCACACAAGGAAGGUGGAAUUCGUCGUGUAGCGGUGAAAUGCUUAGAUAUGACGAAGAACUCCGAUUGCGAAGGCAGCCUUCUGGGGUGUUACUGACGCUGAGGCUCGAAAGUGCGGGAAUCAAACAGGAUUAGAUACACUGGUAGU
rnacentral:rRNA from 1 species